rnacentral:rRNA from 1 species
UACGUAGGGUGCGAGCGUUGUCCGGAAUUAUUGGGCGUAAAGGGCUCGUAGGCGGUUUGUCGCGUCGGGAGUGAAAACACCGGGCUUAACUCGGUGCUUGCUUUCGAUACGGGCAGACUAGAGGCAUGCAGGGGAGAACGGAAUUCCUGGUGUAGCGGUGAAAUGCGCAGAUAUCAGGAAGAACACCGGUGGCGAAGGCGGCUCUCUGGGCCUUACCUGACGCUGAGGAGCGAAAGCGUGGGGAGCAAACAGG